AGGGCUUGCUAUGGUGUCUUGAGGUUUGUCAUGGAAAGUGGUGCCAAAGAUCAUGAGGUUUUUGCAAGCGGCAAGCUCAGGGCACUACGUGCUAAAUUUAUGUAAUUCAAGGACAGGUACAUGAUACACGCUAAAACCACCGAAAUUACAGUUUUGGUGGAAGCCUGUAAUAAGUCACUUACACAGUUUCCAACAUGAAACCAGACAUGAUAAUCAUCUGGUCAGCCUGUAAUAGAAUAAAUUGACCCUGUUGGAAGGCAUGUGCUUUUGAGACAGAUGAGCAUAUAUUUUCAUUUGGCACUGGUUCAAAAUUCAAUUUCAAUUAGAGUAUGGGACUGAUUGCAGUUCCAUGAACUAAGCACUAUUACGACUGAAUGUUGUGAUUGACCUCUUUAAGCUGCAAUUGUUGCAGGGUGUUCUUGGGAUCAAGGAAGAAUGCUUCAUUGGGAUCCCAAGGGUAAGCAAGGGCCAAUAAAACCACUGCCUGAUUUGGUUACCAUCCAUUUCCAUUCCAUCCGCCAGAGGAGGAAGUGGAUCAGGCCUCUAUCACAGCCUGUUAACAUAAAAAUUGAUGUGGUCUAGACAAUCACCGCCACUUUUUCAUCAUUUUUGCUAUUGAUUUUGUAAUUUAAAGAGUAGAGAUCUGGUCGUUAAAGGCUGAUAGCUAUGCUAUAUGGUUCUGGUUCUGUUUUGGGAAAAUAGCAAUGGAGGACCUCUGGAUGAAUUUUAUAUUAAUUAAGGAUUAGUUGUGUAAAUUCAAAUGGAAGAA